rnacentral:rRNA from 1 species
CGGAGGCAGCAGUGAGGAAUUUUUCGCAAUGGGCGCAAGCCUGACGAAGCAACGCCGCGUGGAGGAUGAAGGCCCUAGUGGUCGUAAACUCCUGUCUAGUGGGACGAAGCUUUGCUGGGUAAAUAAUCCAGCAGAUUGACUGUACUACUGGAGGAAGCUCCGGCCAACUCCGUGCCAGCAGCCGCGGUAAUACGGAGGGAGCAAGCGUUACUCGGAAUUAUUGGGCGUAAAGGGCGCGUAGGCGAUUUGACAAGUCUUGUGUGAAAGCCCCGGGCUUAACUCGGGAAGUGCACAAGAAACUGUUGAAUUUGAGUUCCGGAGAGGAAGGCAGAAUUCCCGGUGUAGCGGUGAAAUGCGUAGAUAUCGGGAGGAAUACCAGUGGCGAAGGCGGCCUUCUGGACGGAUACUGACGCUGAGGCGCGAAAGCCAGGGGAGCAAACGGGAUUAGAUACCCCGGUAGU